UAGGCGCACGGGUGAGUAACGCGUGGAUAAUCUACCCUUAAGAUGGGGAUAACGGCUGGAAACGGUCGCUAAUACCGAAUACGUUCCCGAUUUUAUCGUUGGGGGGAAAGAUGGCCUCUGCUUGCAAGCUAUCGCUUAAGGAUGAGUCCGCGUCCCAUUAGUUAGUUGGCGGGGUAACGGCCCACCAAGGCAACGAUGGGUAGCCGGUCUGAGAGGAUGACCGGCCACACUGGAACUGGAACACGGUCCAG
rnacentral:rRNA from 1 species